ACAACACUUUGAACAAGUACAUGGAGGUUGUGACGUCAUGCUUCAGUUUCUGUGAGGACAGCUGUAUUCCAACCCAAACUCAGACAGCUAGGAUUGAUGAAAGAAGAGGUGUUCAGGAGUAGAGACAGCGACUGGUUUAAAGAGUCAAAGUGCAGGUUUAGUAAGGUGGUGAGAGAUG